UACGGAGGGUGCAAGCGUUAUCCGGAUUCACUGGGUUUAAAGGGUGCGUAGGUGGGCAAGUAAGUCAGUGGUGAAACCUCCGGGCUUAACCCGGAAACUGCCAUUGAUACUAUUUGUCUUGAAUACUGUGGAGGUCAGCGGAAUAUGUCAUGUAGCGGUGAAAUGCUUAGAUAUGACACAGAACACCAAUUGCGAAGGCAGCUGGCUACACAAAUAUUGACACUGAGGCACGAAAGCGUGGGGAUCAAACAGG
rnacentral:rRNA from 1 species